CUAUAUCUUCAAAUAACCUCAAGUCUAUAGCUUUUGUUACUCUACUUUAUCAAUUUAGAUGUUGGUGCUAUCUAUGGCAUUUUACAAUUUAAUUUAUUAUAUUUUCUUAUUUAUUGUAUAUCUUAUUUUGUUCAUUUAUUGUUUUCUUGAUUUUGUUGAAUUUUUCCUUUGUAUUUUCUUCAAGUUUGUUGAGCUUCCUUGAAACAAUUAUUUUGCAUUUUUGUCAGGUGGUUCAUAUAUCUUCAGCUCUUUGGGGUCAGAAACUGAGAAAUUGUUGUGUUCUUUUGGUGUUAAUAUGUUUCCUUGUUUUUUUUAUGUUUCUUGUUACCUUAUACUGAUAUCUGAACAUUUGAUGCGGCAAUUAUCUUUUCCUGACUUUACAGGUGAGUUUCAGUGUGGAAAGACUUUUCUCUGAGGAGAAAAGCAAGGUUGCAAAGAUGCUCACUCUGUGGAGUGCAACAUUUCUGGCACCAGUCAGAAUACAGUUAAGUAGUUUCCAUGCCAUUCUGUUAACUAAGGCCAGUGUUAAUAAAGAUUUUUAAGGAAUUUUGGUGGUCAUCAAUGUAGAUGGCCACAGUGAUGGUGAGCGUUGUUGGGGUCUUUGAUGACAAUGCCCUCUAAAUUUCUCCCAAUCUCUUUCUCCAACCAGGGAAGUUGUGGUUAAAGGAAUCCCCCUUGGGGUUGGAUCUCACUUGUGGAUCCACUUGCAGUAACAACAGCACCAGUGUUUAAUGAGUGGCACUCAUGGAGUAGUCACAGGUCCAAGGCCUAAAGCACAAGCACACAUGGAGAGGUCUAAGGUUCUGAGUUCUGGGAUGGUGGUGGCACUGGUGUCUGGGAUACAAGCACCCCAGUUUUCCUUGUUGGCAAUGGAAUGUAAGGCACCAAACAGAUGUGAAAAUUAUCUAGCAUUAUGUAAGGUGUUUAGUAUUCACUAUAAGUAAAACAUACUUUGGGGGCCCAGAGAACCAAUUUAUAUCUACCAGGAUAACUUGAAAAUAAUACAUGUUGGAGAGGAUGUGGAGAAAUUGGAACCCUCAUACAUUACUGAUAAGAAUGUAAAACGAUACAGCUGCUAGGAAAAACAGUUUCCAGUUCUUUAAAAGUUAAACAGUUACUAUGUCAUCUCAAAAUUUCACUCUUAGGUAGAUACUCAAGAGAACUGAAAAUACGUAUUCACACAAAAACUUAGACAUUCAUAGCAGCAUUAUUCAUAGUAGCCCAAAGGUGGAAACAACCCAAAUCUCCAUCAAAUGAUGAAUGGCUAAACAAAAUGUGAUAUAUCCAUGCAAUGGAAUAUUAUUCAGCCAUAAAAAGGAAUAUAACAUAAUACUGAUACAUGCUACAACAUGAAUGAAUUUCAAAAAUAUUAUGCUAUGUGGAAGAAAUUAUACAUGAAAAGUCACAUAUUGUAUGAUUGCAUUUAUAUGAAAUUUCUAGAAUAGACAAAUCAAUGGAAAGAGAAAGUAGAUUAGUAUUUUCCAGGGGAUGGGGGAGAGGGAUGAAUGGGGAAGGCUGCCUAAAGUGUGCAGAUUUGUGAGGUGAUGAAAAUAUUCUGAAAUUAGAUAGUAAUGUUGGUUACAACCUUGGGAAUAUAUUAAACUAUACUGAAUUGUACAAUUAAUAAUGGUAUGCUGAUAGUAUAUGAAUUCUAUCUCAAUGCUUAAAAAUUGCAGGAUCUCUCUAAGGAGUUCUUUGGCUAAUGUGCAUUAUAAAUUUCUAAGAUACAGAUACAGAAUUUUAUAAUUUCCAUCUUAUUUAACAAUAAAAUAUUUUUCAUAGGGUAGCUCUUUGGGAACAGCUGUAAGAAAUUAUUGCUCUAGUGAAUUCACUCCAAAUAAAUAUUCAUGUAAGAGCAUUCAGUACCUAGAGUAGAUGGUUUGGCUUAAAUGAUUCAUCACUGUUGAUUCUAGGUCAUUGCCAUUUCUCCAUUUCAUUUUGGCUCUGUUGACAGUAUUCUUCAUUAU
rnacentral:lncRNA from 1 species